rnacentral:rRNA from 1 species
UAGAUCAGAAGCGAGAAUGUUGACAUGAGUAGCGAUAAAGAGGGUGAGAGACCCUCUCGCCGUAAGUCCAAGGGUUCCUGCUUAAAACUAAUCUGAGCAGGGUAAGCCGGCCCCUAAGGCGAGGCCGAAAGGCGUAGUCGAUGGGAACCAGGUUAAUAUUCCUGGGCCAGGAGGAAGUGACGGAUCUCGAAGGUAGUUUGCCCUUAUCGGAUUGGGUGGGCUGCUCAGAGGUUCCAGGAAAUAGCCCUCCAUCAGACCGUACCCUAAACCGACACAGGUGGACUGGUAGAGUAUACCAAGGCGCUUGAGAGAACCACGUUAAAGGAACUCGGCAAAAUGCCUCCGUAAGUUCGCGAGAAGGAGGCCCCAUAUGUGCGCAAGCAGGUGUGGGGGGCACAAACUAGGGGGUGGCGACUGUCUACUUAAAACACAGGGCUGUGCGAAGCCGUAAGGCGACGUAUACAGUCUGACGCCUGCCCGGUGCUGGAAGGUUAAAAGGAGGGGUGCAAGCUCUGAAUUGAAGCCCCAGUAAACGGCGGCCGUAACGAUAACGGUCCUAAGGUAGCGAAAUUCCUUGUCGGGUAAGUUCCGACCUGCACGAAUGGCGUAACGAUCUCCCCGCUGUCUCUAACGUGGACUCAGCGAAAUUGAACUGUGUGUCAAGAUGCACACUACCCGCGGUUAGACGGAAAGACCCCAUGCACCUUUACUCCAGCUUUGCACUGGUAUCAGGAUUGUGAUGUGCAUGAUAGGUGGUAGGCAUCGAAGCGGGGACGCCAGUUCUCGUGGAGCCUCCCUUGAGAUACCACCCUUCGCCAUCUUGAUAUCUAACCGCGGCCCGUUAUCCGGGUCCGGGACCCUGCAUGGUGGGGAGUUUGACUGGGGCGGUCGCCUCCCAAACAGUAACGGAGGCGCGCGAAGGUAGGCUCAGACCGGUCGGAAAUCGGUCGUUGAGUGCAAUGGCAGAAGCCUGCCUGACUGCAAGUCUGACAAGACGAGCAGAGACGAAAGUCGGUCAUAGUGAUCCGGUGGUCCCAAGUGGGAGGGCCAUCGCUCAACGGAUAAAAGGUACGCUGGGGAUAACAGGCUGAUGAUGCCCAAGAGUCCAUAUCGACGGCAUCGUUUGGCACCUCGAUGUCGGCUCAUCUCAUCCUGGGGCUGGAGCAGGUCCCAAGGGUAUGGCUGUUCGCCAUUUAAAGAGGUACGUGAGCUGGGUUUAGAACGUCGUGAGACAGUUCGGUCCCUAUCUGCCGUGGGUGUAGGAGACUUGAGAAGAGUUGCCCCUAGUACGAGAGGACCGGGGUGAACGAACCACUGGUGGACCAGUUGUCGUGCCAACGGCAGUGCUGGGUAGCUAUGUUCGGACAGGAUAACCGCUGAAGGCAUCUAAGCGGGAAGCCCCCUUCAAAACAAGGUCUCCCUUGAGAGCCGUGGAAGACCACCACGUCGAUAGGCCGGAGGUGUAAGUGCAGCAAUGCAUUCAGCUGACCGGUACUAAUUGCUU